CGGUUGAUCCUGCCAGAGGCCGCUGCUAUCCGGCUGGGACUAAGCCAUGCUAGUCUAGGGGCUUGUACUCCUUCGGGGGUGCAAGCACCGGCGGACGGCUCAGUAACACGUGGACAACCUGCCCUCGGGUGGGGGAUAACCCCGGGAAACUGGGGCUAAUCCCCCAUAGGUGAUGGGUGCUGGAAUGCCCCAUCUCCGAAAGCGCUUAGCGCCCGAGGAUGGGUCUGCGGCGGAUUAGGUAGUUGGUGGGGUAACGGCCCACCAAGCCUAAGAUCCGUACGGGCUGUGGGAGCAGGAGCCCGGGGAUGGACCCUGAGACAAGGGUCCAGGCCCUACGGGGCGCAGCAGGCGCGAAACCUCCGCAAUGCGGGAAACCGCGACGGGGUUAGCCGGAGUGCCCGUGCAUUGCACGGGCUGUCGGGGUGCCUAAACAGCACCCCAUAGCAAGGGCCGGGCAAGGCCGGUGGCAGCCGCCGCGGUAAGACCGGCGGCCCGAGUGGCGGCCACUCUUAUUGGGCCUAAAGCGUCCGUAGCCGGCCCAGUAAGUCCCCCGGGAAAUCUGGUCGCUUAAC
rnacentral:rRNA from 1 species